UAGAACAUUAGGAAAUUAUCUUUUGCAGGGAAAAGCACUUAGAUUCUUUUCGAAGAUAUCUUAACGAGCGCCAAAAAAAACUAUAUAAGUAGACCUGAAAUAUUGUAGAACUCUAUAAUACUAGUUUGUUCUUAUAGUUCGCGCUUUCGUAGUUGCACUGUUUCGACGAGCGUCAAGUUUCAAUUUCGAGUUCAACUUGGUUUCAUUUUUUUAAUCCAAAAAAGAAGAAGAAAAAUAUGGUUUUUUCGUUGAGUAAAUUCGCAACCGUUGCGUUGAUGGUCAUUGUGGCCUUUUUUUUGAACGUGUCUUUAGUUAGCGCCUUACUUUUAACUGCCACAAGCGCGUUCUAUAUUCUAGUUACGAUUGGCUUUACUAUAGGUUUUCUCUUCAUAAUUUUCCCACCCUCUUUCUUCCUCUAUGUCGGUGCGGCUAUCUUCAUCAUAGUUGUAGCGUUCUUUCUUCCGUUACCCUAAGAAUGAAGUCAGCAUUACUAGGAAGUUUCAACGACUUGAAAAAUUCCGUUGCCACAUAUUUCUACAAAGCAACAAAUACGAGUAGAAUUUAUACUUACCAUACUUUUAGACGAUAUUACUUAAAUAUACAUAUGUAUUAAGAACAGCUUUUGUAGAAAUACAUACACCAAUAUUUCCGACAAAUUAUUAUAUUUUUUUUACUGAUCAAUUAUUAAUAAGAUUUUUCGAGGUCAAAAAUCCAUGAAACCUCCAGUUUUCUCCCCUCCAAAUUGUUCCAAUAGAUUGACUUUUGGAUAGGUAGAUACGUUAUAAAACUUUUGAUCUCCUAUCAAUUGGUUUUUAGUUCAAUUUUUUUGUUUUUUUUUCACCCCUCUUUACCUCCUGCCAAAAAUUUGAACAUUCGCGAAUAUUGACCCAAGGUCCAUCUCCAUUCAACCCCCUUAUUUUGGUCAAGCUCUCACUAUCUUUCAGCUUGGAUUCAAUUUUGAUUAAUUUGUUUUCCACUUUGUGAACAAAAGCUGGGACAAGUUGGCCAAAGUUGAAAAAAAUCUUACAUAUCAAAGUUCCAUCAAAAAAAUGCAUUCGUUCGGGUUUUCAGAAAAAAUGUAACCACAUGAGUUGUAUUUUUGCGAUAAAUGUAAACCUAUAUCGCCCAAUUUCACCCAAAACCAUUCUCCAUUCCUUUCCUGACCUUGUUCUCAUCAACCAAUAACUUAUUGAACUUGAAACCGAACUUCAAGAAAUAAAUUUUUUGCGCCUUAAAAAAUCACUCGAUAAUUCCCCAACAAACCGAAAAACACCGAACCUCAACCUACCUAUCUGUGAAAAAAAUUAUCACUCUGUUAUCUCGUUUAAAUAGGCAAGCACAAUAUGUUUAUACAAAAACUAGGCAUGUACAUAGAAAGUUGAAACGAAAUCAAAACAUUCGAAACCUUUUCGAAGAUAAAUACCUCAACGAGCACCUAAACCUGACCAACAACACUGUGAAAUUAUAUCGAGUCGAAUUUCAAGGCACAUAAAUAAGUGUUUGUGCUUUCGAGUUAUGGUAACUUUCUUUCAUCCGUAGAAAGAGAAAGAAAGCUCAAAAUGACCUUUGUUAGUGGCCGUCGUAGCCAUUUUUUCAAACGUGUCUUUGGUCAGCGCUGGUCCAGUUUUCGCUGCAGUGACGUUCUUUUUUCUUCUUUUCGUUGCAGUAUUUCUAACAAUUUCUCUUUUUCUUACCGCCAUUCGGACCGAUUCUCUUCAUCUUGUAUUUAUUUUUCAGUCUCUAUUUAAUCAUAAGGCAUAUUACUUCGAACCGGAUCCUUAUUGAGGUAAAUUUACAAAAACUUGAAUUUUUUCAUUUCUUUCCUUUUUUGUUUUUUUAAUGUGAAAAAUCAAAUCACAACGAAACAAAAUAAUUAAUAAAUGAACUUUUUUAGAAACCGUAUUUCCUCGAUCUUAAUCAGAGAAAUUUUGGAACAAUUCCAUCUACCUACACCAAUCAGUCAGCGGAACGUAUUUUCCCUACAGACUGAUUCAGAUUAAGAGAAAUUGGCACAUGCUAAGCCCCCCCCCCCCCCAAUCGAGUCCCGAGACCUAAUUUUUCUAGAAACAAUUAAUGAUACUGACGUUUAUAUGUAGAUUUCUCCUUCGAAAAAUCACUUCUCGUACCAAAAGUCUGCACAUAAUUUAUUCCAAAAUUGAAUAAAAAUCACAUCCAUAAAUCUUGUUCUUCACUUUUUGCGUCCAAUAAGACCAAAAGGUCACAAGAUAACCUUCCCAAUCAACUGCAAGCAAACACAUAUCUACAAAAUUAUCAUCCCUAUCGUUAAACAUGUGCAAGUACAUGGUACUGUACAAAAGCAAGGCACUUUGAAAACUGAGUUAUCAUUUUUAAGAAAAUCACUUACAUAUAUGUAUUUACACUGCAUGUCACUGAUCGUAUCUUAACGAGCACACCUUAUAACAAAAACAAGCUCACCUGCACCACUAUAAUAUACAUAUUGCAUUAUCGAGUCGAAUUCGAUACUUUUUAUUCGUGGUUUUUGCAUUUCACACCGCUUCGAGGGUAAAUUUUCCAUUUUCGAGUAGUAAUUUUCCAUUUUAACCCCUCGGUAAAAAAAAAUGAAUUUUUCAAAAAAACUUGCAAACAUCGUGUUAUUGACCACCGUGUCUAUUUUUUUGAACGUGCCUUUAGUCUGCGCCGGUCCUUUUCUUGCCAUUUCAACAUUUUAUAUUCUAUCUGUUAUCGCAUCAAUUUCUAUGAUUCUGCUCUGCUUUCCACCAGUUGGACCAUUCCUGGUUUUUUCCUACUUAUUUAUGAGUAUCUUCGUUAUCGCAGCGGCCUACCUUAUUCUUUGAGAUUUUAGAAUGAAGCCAUCAAAAGUCAAAAAUUUCAUAUCGAUAAAAUGUUAUGAAUUGUAAUUUUUUGUCAUUUCAUUACGCACAUUAUUGAGGCAACUCUCGUAUAGAAAUAAACCAAUGUUAUUAGAAAA